UACGAAGGGGGGCUAGCGUUGCUCGGAAUCACUGGGCGUAAAGCGCACGUAGGCGGCUUUCUAAGUCAGGGGUGAAAUCCUGGAGCUCAACUCCAGAACUGCCUUUGAUACUGGAGAGCUUGAGUCCGGAAGAGGUGAGUGGAACUCCGAGUGUAGAGGUGAAAUUCGUAGAUAUUCGGAAGAACACCAGUGGCGAAGGCGACUCGCUGGACAAGUAUUGACGCUGAGGUGCGAAAGCGUGGGGAGCAAACAGG
rnacentral:rRNA from 1 species